rnacentral:lncRNA from 1 species
GUUCCUAGCAGGUAAUACAUGAUAUAGAUGUGAACUCAAAAACAAAUGUUUUGGAAAAUAGGCAGAUGCAUUGGAUGGUCUUCAGAUUCAGCCAGAAUAGUUUUCCCAUUCAGACAGGAUUAAGAAGUGGGUAUUGCUGGGAGCAGACCUACUUGAGGAUGAAUGAGGCUCUGGGCCUUAGAAAGUUCUACUAUUUCUUGCCAGGUCCCAACUUGGCUGCUUUGUAAGAAGUGGACUUCUGCCUCCUCAGCCUAACCUGAAGAAUAGAACCAGCUUCUUUCGUGGCAAUUUUCCCCCAGGAGGGAUUUCCCUGCAGUGGACCUCCUCCCCAGUGGUACCUUCAGCCAUCAGAACACCUCGCUUUAGAUCUGUGGGUCCCAAAUUUCAUCAAAUCCAAUGACCAUUUCUAUGAUCACUCAUUCUGGGGGCAGCCCUCUGGCAUGUAAUGAGCAGUCCUAUGGAGAGGCCCAUGUGACAGUAGCCAUGCGAGUGACACUGGAAGUGAAACCUGCAGCUCCAGUCAAGCCUUUAGAAGACUGCAGCCCUGGCUGACAGCUUGACAGCAAACUCAUGAGAGACUCUCAGCUUGAACAACUCAGCUAAACUGUUCCUGGGUUCCUGGUCCUCAAAAACUGUACGAGAUGAAAAAAAAGUUUGUUUUUUUAAGCUGCCAAGUUUUGGGAUAAUUUGUUAUUCUAAUAUAUUUUUUAAUACCUGGAAGUAAGGUGCUACCAUAAUAAAUACCUAAAAUGUAGGCACAGCUAGGAAACUAGACAGUGGAGGUAGCUGGAAAGAAUUUAAGAAGCAUAGCAGUGAAAGUCUCAGGAGCCUUGAACAAAACAUUAGAAAAACUUUGGACUUUGACCAGGCUGCUGGUGGAGGUUUAAAAGAAAGUGAGAAAAAUCUUGUUGAAAACAGAACAGGGAAUCCUUACUAUGGAGUGGCAUAAAUCUUAGCAAUAUUGUUGUCUGCAAUAAUGUGGGUGGUGGGAAUGUACCUGGUAAACUGGGUGAUCUAAUUUGCUAUUCAUAAAGACAUAAAGAUUCUCAGCUUUUACAGAUGGUGAAAAAUGCUAAAUUAAGAAAUGGCUGAAGGACAGAGGUCAAAUCCUGGGCACCAUCAUGAAAACAUAAUCCAAAGAUGAAGCUGAGAUGUGACUAUAAAUCCUUUGUUAUGACCUCAGAAAGAUCAAAAGUGGUGCCUCAGAGUACCAGUUUGGUCACACAAAGGCCCUCUAAAGUUUUUAAGGCUGUGACUCACAGAUUCUUUCAAAAACAGGGCUCCUGAGAAGCUUAAGAGCAUAGUUUUUCAGCAGAAUCACAAGGUGGGAAAGGGAUUAUCUCAAAAAGAUUUUUGGGCGUGACUUUUGUCUAAUGGAAUGGACCCCCAAAAAUUCAUAGGUGAUUCACAAAUUUUUUAAAAGAAUUAUAUUAGUAGAAACAUUGCCAACUAGAACUCAAAGGGAUAGAGACAGUAUGAAAUGAAAAAAGGCCUUGGUACUCACUUUGCCCCUGUUUCACUGCAGGUUAAGAAAAAAUUUCAGCUGCAUACAUGUACUAACUUUCAUGAAAAAGAAAGAAUAGCUAAGCAUGGUGACUCACUCCUGUAACCCCAGCACUUUGGGAGGACAAGGUGGGAAGACCACUUGAGCCCAGGAGUUUGAAUCAGCCUGGGCAACAUAGCAAGACUCUGUCUCUUUUUAAAAAAGGAUGACUCUGAAGGGGAAGCUAAAAGCCUCAGAGAAUAACUCAUGCGUAGAAAUAGGACUAAAUCCUAAGGCGAUUCCAACAUUUGCCUGGCUGGAUUUCAGAGCUGCUAUGGGGACAUAGUAGUGUGUCCAGUACCUUUCCUUUUUGAAUAUUAAUGCAUAUAGUGUUUAUUCCUGUUCCACCAUUGUGUGUUUGGGGUGUGUGUGUGUGUGUGUGUGUGUCUAUGUGUGUGCGUGUUAGUUUCAGAUUGAGAGGAAUUAUACCCAAGGAGCUAGAGUUAAGAAAUUAUACCUAAGGAACCUCUUGUGUACCUGGUCCUGAUUUAAAUGACAAGACUCUAGACUUUGAGUUGAUGCUGUAAUGAGACAAGAAUUUUAGAAAUGUUGAGAUGGAGUGGACGUGUUUUGCAUGUUGGAGGGACUUGAUUCACUGGAGCCUAGAAGGCAGACUAUGGUAGCCAGCCCUCAAGAUUGUCUCCUCCUGGUAUUCAUACCCUUGUAUAAUUCCCCUCCCACAUUGUACCAGAAUUUAUCUGUGUGACAGAAUAUGGCAGAAGUAAUGAUAUGUCACUUCUGAGAUUAGGUUAUAAAAGACAUUGUGGCUACCAUCUCUCAUCACUCACUCAAAGGGAAGCCAACCACCAUGCAAUGAGAAUCUCAGGUAAUGAGGACCUGAGACCUGUUGUCAAUCACGUGAAUAAGCUUGGGAGGAGAUUCUCCAGCCCCAGUCAAGCCUCAGAAGACUUCAGCCCUAGGUGACAGCUUGAUGAUAAUCUCGGGAGGCAGAACCACCCAACUAAGCCACUCCUGGAUUCCUGACCCUGACCCUGACCCUAGAAACAGUGUGAGCUGGAAUUCUGUGAAGCACAUGACCUCAAGUCUUUGGAUAAAUGGAAACGCAGCUUAUGCCGGAAAGAUGGAAGGCUGGCUGUACUAAUAUCAGAAAUGGAAGAGGAGAGACAUCACUAGAGAUCCCAUGGAUAUUGAAAGGAUAAUAAAGGAGUAUUAUGAGCAUUGUUAUAUUUUAUGUCUCCUAUAAGCUGUAAAUUCCUACAUAGCAAGAAUUCUGUCUUACUCAUCCUUUAACAACUACUGUGUACCUUAUAAUGUUUCAUAAAAUAUUAUGAUUUGGUUUUAUUAUUCACAAAAGAAUGCUAUAAGAGGUGAAAAAUGGAGAGGCUAGAAAGCAUAAAAACAAGUUACAUCAGGUGGUAGAGCCUGGUUUAAGGGUCAAAGAUAAAAGAAGGGAAGGUUAAGGGCAGGGCUUUAGAGGGAGAGAGGAUAAACACAGUUUGAUUAAAUGGCUGAUUCAGCCGGGUGUGGCGGCUCAUGCGUAUAAUCCCAACACUUUGAAAGGCUGAGGCAGGAGGAUUGCUUGAGCCUAGGAGUUCAAGACCAGCCUGGGCAACAUGGAGAAAUCCUAUCUCUACCAAAAUACAAAUACAAAAACAAAAAUUAGCCAGGUGUGGUUAUAUACACCUGUAGUCCCAGCUGCUUGGGAGGCAGAGGUGGGAGGAUUGGUUAGGUCUAGGAAGUUGAGGCUGCAGUGACCUAUGAUUGCUCCACUGCACUCUAGCCUUGGUGACACAGAGAGAUCCUGUCUCAAAACAAAAACAAACAACAACAACAAAAAACAUAUAUAUAUAUAUAUGAGGUUUAUCCACAGUAAAGUUCAGUCUAGGGUUAAUAAAAGAUUCUAGGGUUCACUAAGACAAAGAGUAGUCGCAGUAGCAGAGCCUUGGGUGAAGCUAAGGUCCCCAGGAGAUCUGGGAUGUCUGUGAGGAACAGUGAGGCUUAGUCAUUCAGACAAGCCAGCAGAAGUGAAGUUUAGAGAAUGUGGAUGGGCCUCAGGCUCUAGACAUCAAAACAAACAGAUAGAAAAGGCAGAGUGUAGAAUCCAGACAGUGAGGCUCACAACAAGGUAUGCAAUUCUGCAUAAGCAGAUUUGAGGGGACACCAACUAUGGACUGAUGUAGAUAAAUAUUUCUGGUAAUUCCAGUUAGUGAUUCACUCUGAACUCACAUAGGAUAGUAUCUCUUCAAAGGCACUUGUGUUGUAAUUAAAUGCACACAUAAGACAUAAUGCUUAUUGAGCCCUUAGCAUGUACCACCCACUCUUAUGCAUACUAUAUGUUUAAACCAUUUAAACUCACACCAACCCCCUGGGGGUAGGUAGUAUUAUUAUCCCUGUUACAGAUAAGGAAAGUGAGAAGUAGGAGUUAAUUGGUCUCAUGAUCCCCUACAGGCUGGCCUUCCAGAAAAAGGAGGUAACUUGCCCCAGGAUACCCUGGAAACCAAUCAGAAUGAAUUGCCUUAAACUCUGGCUUGUAGCCCAAAGCAAGGCUUGCCCACAAGUCUUGCCAGUAUGUGGUUGAACAGAAAUUAGAAUCCAGACAGCCUGAGUCCUUUUCUUGCCAGGCAGGGGCUGGGGCUUCCCCAACCAUGAAAGUUCAGGUGGUAGAUCCUGCCACUGCUUUGCACACCAGCUCCCUGGUGCUAACCUCAACUGCCAGUGCUGAGCUGGAAGGAUAGGGCUGGAGGCAAACUCCUACCCCAUCAUGUUGCUGGUGUAUUCCAUCCUGGUAUUGGUCACACCAAGGAAGGGCCUGGACUUUCCUAAUCAUGCAGCUUAAAAGCAACACAAGGCAAGGCGGGGAGUCCGCUCUCCUGAAGUCUGACAUCCAGGAAGACCAGAUUGCUAUGUGCUGUCUUUGACUUACUUGGAGACUCACACACCUACACUAGUGCCCCCUUAUCUGAGGGGGAUGCAUUCCAAGACCCCCAGUGGAUGCUUGAAACCAUAAAUAAUACCAAACCCUACAUAUACUAUGUUUUUUCAUAUAUAUACCUAUGAUAAAAUUUAAUUUAUAUAAUAGAUUAGGCAGAGACUAAUAACAAUAACUAAUAAUAAAAUAGAAGAAUUAUAACAACAUACUAUAAUAAAAGUUAACGUGAACAUUGUUUGUCUCAAAAUAUCUUAUUGUAUGUAAUAUUUUUGGACUGUGGUUGUUCAUAGCAAGUGAAAACUCAGAUGGGGGAGGGUGGCAUACUGUAUUUAUUUUCCUGUAUCCAUUAGUGUUUCCCAGUGAACACUGCACCAGGAGGUUGGCCAUUUGUCUUUAUUUAUACAUCAAACUAAGGCAUGGAGAAUAAGAGCUUGGUAAGGUCAUAUAGCCAGGAGGUGGUUGAACUGAGAUUCAAACUGAGACAGUCUGAGUCCAAAUUCUACCACCUCUUGUGUGUGACAUUUAAUGGAUAGGUGGGCUUUUGUAACCAGUGUCUCUGCCUUUCUCCAUGAUUCACAGCACAGAAACUUGUGCAUACAUUCUCACUUGAUAUCUGAAUGACUGUAACAGUGAUGUAAAUUAACAAGGAAGGGAGAUAGCCCUGAUUUAAUUGGAAAUCACUGACAGAGCUCGCCCAGUAAACUCUCUACAAACAGAAUACAAAUGUUUUGUAUUUAAUUGCUAAAGUGUUUUAAAAUUGAACUCAAAUUAAUAAAUACUUAUUGUAUCUGUCAGUUAAACGAAACAACCAAUAAACAACCAACUCUGUUUUCUAAUCAAGAGGGACUGAUCCUUUAAAAAAAAUAGGGUUUAAAAAAGAUGAUAUGAUCAAUGUAAAAUUGGAUUAUAGACUUUUAGAGUCUUAAAAGAUGAGAAAAGAGAUAAAGAUGAAUAGAUAUGGAGUAACUAGGAUAAGACUCUCUCACAAACUGGACCUUAAACAGAUUUAGGAAGAAAUAUAGGAUUAGGAUAGAGAAAAAGAAGAGAAAGAAUUGCCUAUAGGCAUAAUAAAAAGCACAAGUGUAUCAAUCAACACAGGGUAUUGUGGACCAGUGAGGAAGGAUCAUGAUCUAGACUAGGGGAUUCAUGUUGGAAACAGUGAGACAAGUUAGAAAGGAUAGGAUGGGACAUAUUAUAUGGUUCCAAACAUAAUAAAUGAGCACUUGAGCUAGAAAGUAGUAUAAUGUUCACAGGUGGUAAAGAGGUAUAAUGAAAAAACUAUACUUCACAAAAAUUAGUGGUGUUCAGUGGGUUGGAGAGAAGACCAAUUAGAAGGUUAUCUGUGGAAUUACAACAACCCAGUGAAUUGAGCUGAUGGAGAGAGAUGCUCCUCCCACUACCAACACUCAAACAUAAGGCAAAAAUAUUUAUAGGUGAUGAGUAAUGAUGAAAAAACAAAAGAACAAAUGAUAGAUGACAUGAAGAAUGGGAGUAGGGAAGACCAUAUUUAAGACUCUGAGGUCAUUAAAUGAUGUAACAUGUUUACUAGCCCAAAAAUAUAUACUAAAAGAGUAGAAAGAAAACAAAAAAUUUCCAAAUCAGUAGCAAGGAUCAAGAAAACAAUCCAAAUGGAAGGAAAGAACAAUGUCCCUUGGAACAUAACAAUAGAACAUAAUAUGAACAGUACCUCCUUCUAUGUAGUGUAGAUAUUAAACAUAGGGUGGGAAGUACACAUAUCAAUUUCAAAAUAGUGGUUUAAUCUGAAAUUGUUAAACAGAGAGGGAGGGAAGCAAUAGAACUGAGAGAGCGUUCAAAAGCCUUUUGUUGUAUCUGUAGAGUCUUUUAUUUCUUAAAAAUACAAUCGUAUACCACAUGAUAACAUUUUGGCCAAUGGACUACACAUAUGACAUGGUCCCAUAAGAUUAUAGUACUGUCUUUUUACUGUACCUUUUCUAUGUUUAGAUAUAUUUACAUAUACAAAUACCACUGUUAAAUUGCCUACAGUAUUCAGCACAGUAACAUGCUGUGCAGGAUUGUAGCCUAGGAGCAAUGGGCUACACCAUGUGGCCUAGGUGUGUCGUAGGCUCUACUAUUUUGGUUUGUAUAAGUACACUCUAUGAUGUUCACACAAUGAUGAAAUCACCUAACGAUGCAUUUCUCAGAAUAAGUUUCUGUUGUUAAGCAACCCAUGAUUGUAUCUGAAGCAAAUAUCUAUA